CUGAGCACAUGUGGUCCCAGCUGCUUGGGAGGCUGAGGCAGGAGGAUUGCUUGAGCCCAGGAGUUUGAGGUGAGCUAGGCUAAUAAUUCCAGGGCAUUCAAGUCCUGGCAACAGGGGGCGACUCUGUCUCAAAAAACAAAACAAAACAAAAAACAAUAAAUGUCAGUGAAGACGUGGAGAAAUUGGAAUUCUCGUGCACUGGUGGAGGGAACAUACAAUGGUGUCACUGCUACGGAAGAUAGUAUAGGCAUUCCUGAGAAAAUUAAAUAGAAUUACUCUGUGAUCCAGCAGUCCCACCUCUGGGUUUGGGAUUCAAUACCCAAAGGUAUUGAAAGCACAAUCGCAAAGAGGUAUUUGUCCUCUCACGUUCAUAGCCGUGUUCUUCACAACAGCCGAAAGGUGGAAGCAACCCAAGUGUUCACCAGUGAAGAAUGGAUGAACCAAAUGUGGUCCAUACACACGGUGGACUAUUAGUCAGCCUUCAAAAGGAAGGAGAUUCUGACGCAUGCUACCACAUGGAUGAAUCUGGGGACAUUGUGCUGAGUGAUUACACCAGUCACCAAAGCUUGCAUAUCAAGCCCAGGAUGAAAGAGGAACCCUCAGCCUGUCCUGCCUUCCCCAGCAAAAGCAAGAUCACGGUGACCAUGUGAUCCUCUCGGUGUGGAGGGGCUGGCACCCGGGUCUAAGCAGUGCAGCGUCCUCAGGGUGACAGCCGAGGCCCAGGGCUCCAGCACUCUCCUGGUGAGCUACAAACAGGGCCACGUCGACCUGUGUGCCAGGAUCACCAUCGGGGCCUACCUGCCCCUCAAGGUUCCAGUCUCCAGCCACCGAGACCCCCUGGGGGACCUGGUUGCCUAUGACCAGCAGGGACACAGAUUCAAGAACUUCAGCUCUCUGAGCACCCACUGGGAGUCCUCCAGGCCGCUGCUGGCCAGCAUUGAGCUUGACCACCCACGUGUUGGUGUCCCAGCAGGACGGGAGCGGCCAAAAGAAGCUGCACGGUUGAAACUGCAAAUCAGGAGGAAGGGUUUGCUUCAGCGGUGGUGAUGGGGAGACAACCUGCAUCAGUUUCCCUCUUCCUCGACUCAGGUUUGCGGCCAUUUCAGUCCAUGAGGCAUCGGAACAACAGCCGUCACUGCCACCACGACUGGCUACCAGCUGUCCCACCUCAGCACGGCCAGAGUGAAGCAGCAGGUAUCUCCCAGGGCCCAGUGGUGGCAGAGGCCAUGGGCAAGGCCACGAGAUCUCCUGAUGCUGUCUGAAUUCUGCCCAAAUUCCACCUGGUGUCCAAGUGUCCUGAGAGCCCUCACUGGCCACAGCCCUCAGUCCCCAAAGUGCUCCCUGAACUGGGAGUGUGCUCACUGCCUGGGAUCUCCCCUUCCCCACUCCCCUUCCAUGUGGGCUCCUGGAGGAUCCACUGAAA